rnacentral:snoRNA from 1 species
UGUUUUAUCCUGGUUUCCUGUAGUCUCUGGGGGCUGUGGGUAACUCCAUGCCUGCCCUAGGGCUGAGUCAGUUGGUCUUAUGCCUGGGGGCCAAAGGCA